GGAGUGGUGCUUUUUGUCAGGUUCUUUGAAACGUUCCUCCUGCACCUUGCUAUUGGAGCGUGCUGUCUUCAAAGCUCAACAUACUGUUCCUGGGAGCCAUCUUCCAUAUAUGGGGAGAAGGUGCAGCAUCCAUUUGUGCUCUGCAGCGUUCCAGGAGUAUUGCCAAACCAAAAAUAGAACUCCUAACAACAAAAGGAAUAAGUACAACCUUACUGAAGCAUGAGGGGCUUGGAAUACAAAUAAGCUGUUUGUUCACCUGCAUUGUCUUCUUGCAUUUUGGCUCUUCCCCUUUCAGAACUGCUCAUAAGCUCUUUGCUAAAACAGGAAUGUGCUAAGACUCCUGUGACACCAUUUAGCAACCUCAGCUGAAUAAAGUGGCUGCCGUAGUCCCACACAGGGUUGAAUAGGAAACUGAAUAGCACCGCUGUGCAGGGCUUCCAAGUAGCAGGAAAUCUGUAUCUCCAAAGUCUCUGCAGGAAAUAAUCAGAAAUUCAGUAGGGGACAUGGAUGUGUACACUCAAGUCUUGGAUAUGGAGUGGAUCCAAAAUCACAGGCAUGUACAACCCAAGAUGUCACAAAUUGCAUGCUAUUAGAUGCUGUCAUAAGAUAUCUUCUACUUAGUGCUCAAAUGCUUCUACAUUU